rnacentral:rRNA from 1 species
GAUGAACGCUAGCGGCAGGCCUAAUACAUGCAAGUCGAACGGGAUCUGAGGGUAGCUUGCUACCCGAUUUGAGAGUGGCGCACGGGUGCGUAACGCGUGAGCAACCUACCCAUAUCAGGGGGAUAGCCCGAAGAAAUUCGGAUUAACACCGCAUAAUAAUACGCUAACACAUGUUGGUGUAUUUAAAUAUUUAUAGGAUAUGGAUGGGCUCGCGUGACAUUAGCUAGUUGGUAAGGUAACGGCUUACCAAGGCGACGAUGUCUAGGGGCUCUGAGAGGAGAAUCCCCCACACUGGUACUGAGACACGGACCAGACUCCUACGGGAGGCAGCAGUAAGGAAUAUUGGUCAAUGGGCGCAAGCCUGAACCAGCCAUGCCGCGUGCAGGAUGACUGCCCUAUGGGUUGUAAACUGCUUUUGUUAGGGAAUAAACCUUCUUACGUGUAAGGAGCUGAAUGUACCUAAGGAAUAAGGAUCGGCUAACUCCGUGCCAGCAGCCGCCGCCG